AAACAUGGCUCCCUGUUUUCAUAGCAUAGGGAGUCGAACCUGCCCAAUGAGUUUAAUUGAAUGGCCGCGGUACCCUGACCGUGCAAAGGUAGCAUAAUCAUUUGUUUAUUAAUUGUAGACUGGAAUGAAUGGUCUGACGAGGGAUAGACUGUCUUUUAUUAGUUUUUUAGAAUUUAAUCUUUAAGUUAAAAAGCUUAGAUUUAAUUAGUAGACGAGAAGACCCUGGCGAGCUUUAGCUUUGAGUGGGGCGGUCCUGCUUAAUGUGUUGGUUGGGGCGACUGAGGAACAAACAAAGCUUCCUUUAUUAGAUACCUACGAUCCGAUAGAUGUCGAUAGAAGGCAACAGCUACCGCAGGGAUAACAGCAUAAUUUUUUUAGAGAGCUCCCAUCGAAAAAAGAGUUUGUGACCUCGAUGUUGGACUAGGGUAUCCGGGAGGUGCAGCAGCUUCCAAAGGUUGAUCUGUUCGAUCAUUAAAACCCUACAUGAUCUGA
rnacentral:rRNA from 1 species